UCCCUCUUAGCUCAGCUGGUAGAGUGCGUCAUUGGUAUAGAUAAUCAUGCACGAGGUCAGUCGUUCAAAUCGACUAGCGGGAC